UGGUAUUUAUUCCAAUGAGGCAUAGUCGGGAACAGAGGAACACAGUAACUGAAGAGAAGACGGACGUUACAGAAGAGACAGUGAGUCAGAACCUCGUCCCCUGGACUUCAGCGGACAUUUCGCCCUGUGGAAUUAUUAUCUAAAAUUUUUCACUGCACCAUCUUUCUCCAGCGUCAGUCGCAGAAACUCGAUGCGACAGUAAACUGAAAUUGAAAGGUUCCUUUUAGUUUUGAAGCUAUGUGACCGCUACCGCCAGCCUUCAUCCUUGACCUCCGCUCGAAGUCUGGAUACUUUUUAACAUCUGGGAAGAUAAAUCUCAGGACAACUAUGCAGUAGUCAUCCAUAAUAGUCGGCAGCCACCUGCAGGAUAUUUCUACCUAUUUAUAUGCCUGUCGGGGAACUUGAAAAAGGACUAGUAUGGAGGUGCUGAGCGGCCCCUGGGCUGAUCUGGCUCUGCUCCUGCGACAGGCUGUCACACAGUCGGACAGAGAGACAGGCAGCCUUCUCCCUCUCUGGCUGUUCGGCCUGCUUCUGUUCCUGUCUGUCUGCCUACUGCUGCUGCAACUGAUUAUCUACUUCAGCUGGAAACUCAGACAGGCUGACGCUGAUCUGUCGGAAGCUCCGCAGGGCAGAAGCGCCAUCUACAGGCAGGUUCACAGAAGUACACACCCGAGGAGGAGAAGUGUCGGGUCUCAAUCACACACCUGACAGGACACUAGACAUUCAUUCAGUCAUGCAUUCCUUCAUUUUCUGUAACCUCUUGUCCUCUGGAGAGUUUCGGGGUGUGUGGAGCCAAUCCCAGCUGUCAUCGGGUGAGAGUGGGGUGUAGUCUACACCCUGGACAGGUCCACAAGAGACAUGAAUGAAUUUAGAUGCAUCGGGAACAAUGCAUCCACUGUGAACACUAUGAGGACACAUCUCAGGAAAAAAAUAAUGGUGAAGAACAUCAUUGGCUGUGUCUUAGGAUUGUAUGUGUUUUAACCUUCUUGUUUGAACUUGGAAUAAAUAAAUGUUUAAGUUGCGUUGCUUUUGUUGAA